rnacentral:tRNA from 1 species
GCACAGGAAAUACAGUGGGUAGCACUGUCGCCUCACGGCAAGGAGGUCCUGGGUUCGAAUCCCGGCCUGCGCC